UGCUGGGAUUACAGGCGUGAGCCACCGCGCCCGGCCAAGAGUGGCAUUUUUAAAACCAUAUAUUAGAUCAUCGCUUUUGUGUUUGGGAACCUCCAAGGGCUUUGCAUCAUAUAUCAAGUUGACACCUCUCCUACCCAAGCCUGGCUCUUUCCUGCUCCUCUGUCCUCUCAGCCCCUCCACCCAUUGUUCAUGCUGCUUCAGCCACACUGGCCUUCUUGCCAUGCCACAUUUGUGCUAAGCCCACAUCCAAUCUCGGGGCCUUUGCACUCGCAUUUCCUCUGCUUGGCAUGCUGUACCCCAGAUCUUUCAUGAUUGGCAGCUUCUGUACAUUCAGCCACCUGCUCAAGCCACCCUUUCAGAGGGCCUUCCCUGGCCACCUCACCUGAAAUAGCACCUCCGAUUGCACCCAUCCGGUUAUUCUCCAUCCUGUUCUCUUGCUUGGUGAUUUUCCAUCACUGAUGAGGAAAUGAACCAUGGAAUGCUAGGGCUGAUGACCAGAACUUUCCCCCACCCCCACAUUAUUACAGAGGAGGAAAUGAGGUCGGAGGUAAGAUGGGCCCAGGAUUUCUACUCCCGCCUGGACUGCAGGCACAGCACUGACCUCAGCUGUGCUCACUCUUGGCAUUCACCCAACCCUUCUAUCUCCAACUGCCCCAUUUACCAGAAAGUGAAAUGUUCUCAGAGACGGUGAGCCACCUGACUUGGACAGCAGCCCAGGGCCCCUGGCACCCUGCUUUCUUCCUCCCUGCCAUCCUUUCCUCUCCAAGACCUACCUUUCCCUGUGAUUCUUGCCCACAUGCUGCAUUUCAUGGUUUUAUGACCUGAUUUCUGAGAGGGAUUUGAAUUUUCAUGAUUAUUUAUGUAAGCAAAUCAUUAUGCUUAUACAAAUGAGAAAAGGAGUGCUUCUGGACUUCCCAGGGACAAAAUCUUGUCACUUGGCUUGCUUUCAUAUUGCUAAUUAAGGACCCAGGAUGUGGGUGAGAUGUGCUAAAAGCUGAGAGGAGGCUCUGGACUCUGACUAUGGGCCCACACCCCUGGGCAGGCAUCACACUAGUCCUUUAGGUCAUCCUCAACCCAGCUUCCAGUUGAAUCAGAUGUUUGUGAAUAACUCAGCAAGGCUGUAUGGGAAAUGAAGAAUGAGGUGGGGAAGAGGCCUGUGCAGAAGACACACUGACUUACCCCUCUACCUCUAACUAGGGUGUUGUAGCAGCCACCCACCCACCAAGUCUGUCUUCCAGACCACGUAUGCUUUCCUCCACCUUUGCAUCUUUUAUCUUCUGCCAGCCCAGAUGCUUGCUGACUCCAGCCCAAGCCUAUAGGAUAAGCCACAGCCUGUCCCUACAGACUACGCAUUGCAGAAUCUAAGACAUCAAGUCAAGUUCGGAAGCACUUGCCUUCUCCUCUCCAGUUGUAUUUGUGUACUUGCUUGGGUGUGGGGAGGAUUCUCAGCUUUCUCCACUCAAAUUAUCAGACCCUUUCCAUUUAGUGGUAGACCAUUUCCCUCGUCCAGGCCAAGGGCACAUAGUACAGAGAAAUAGGGAGUUGUUACCCAGGGAGAGAACUUGGCUCUAAACCUGUAAUAGAAAGGUCAGUUCUGGUCUGGAGGGUCAAUUUUGAUCUUUGGCUCAGAUCCAGGAAUUGGAACCAAGGCUUUUGAACAUUUUAAUGCAGGGGAUUAAAAAAAUGAUACGAGUCAUUCACGAAUAUAUUUGCUUAACAUCUAAAGAGAUCCCUCAAAACACUAGAAAAAAUAAGAACAAAAAUCUAAUAAAACAAAAUUUG
rnacentral:lncRNA from 10 species